rnacentral:lncRNA from 1 species
GACACAUGCCCCCAAAUUCAAGAAUCUUAGAAAAAAAGCAGCAAUUCAUAAAGGAGAAGCACGAAAGAAUUUCUUUAUAUUCUAUUUUGAACGAGGUAACAGCCCGUGCACCGGUUGUCUUUUCUUAGGAGUCUCUGGUGUUCUCAUAGUGAAAGGUAAUGUUUUUAAAAACCUAAGAACUAGCACUGAAAAUGGCUUCGGGGCAAACCCAACGCGUUGGUUUACAGGGAUGAAUAAAUACUUCAUAAAUGUUUCAUUAGGAGAGUUUCAUCUUUUAAACUAGUCUUUUUUUUUUUUUUUUUUUGCUAUAUUCACAAAUCUUGAUUUAGAGGCGCCUGGGGGGCUCAGCGGUUGGAUGUCUGCCUUCAGUCCAGGGCGUGAUCCUGGAGCCUGGGAUCAAGUCCCGCAUGGGGCUCCCUGCAUGGAGCCUGCUUCUCCCUCUGCCUGGGUCUCUGCCUCUCUCUCUGUGUCUCUCAUGAAUAAAUAAAAUAAGAUAAAACAAAAGAAAAGCUCCUGAGCGCUUGCUGCCAGGAACACUAGCUAACUUGCCCAAAGUCAUAGGAAGAGGCGAAUGAGCCAGGACCCAGCCAGUGAGCCUGCCCCUGGAGUCCAGUCUGUUUUUUGUUUUUGUUUUGUUUUUUUUUUUCUUAAAGAUUCCAUGUAUUUCUCUGGGGGAGAGUGAAAGGAAAGAGACGACAGAAGAGGGGAAAAGCCCAGCUGUCACGACACUGGAGCCCAACGUGGGGCCCAAUUAAAGCAUCAGGGGUCACCACCCGAGCCGAGGGCAGCCAGACGUGGAGCCCGAUCCCAGCACCCAGGGUCACCACCCGAGCAGAGGGCGGCCAGAUGUGGGUGGGGCUCGAUGACAGCACCUGGGGUCACCACCCCAGCCACCGGGUGAGCCGGGAGGAGGUUCUCACAGCUGGGAACACGGUUCACACGUGUUCAAUCAAUUGUUAAAUUUGACCCGUUAGCUUCAAAAUGCUUUAAAAAAAAAAUACCUGUGUGCCAGGUAUGCACCGUGCCAGCUGGUUAGGACCCAAAAGUAAACUAUGGCAGAGACGAGGAGAGAGAGACUGUAGGGCGUCCGAGCUGGGGCCCAGAGCAGGGGCUGCCCCGGGGUGACCCCUCCUCCGCUCAUGGUGGAAGCGUGGGUGGGAUUAUCAAAGCCAGGCCGGGCAGAGGGCUCACGGGCUGGGGAGCAGCGUGGGUGACACCGCUGUCACCGCCGGGGCCUCCAGGCUGACAGGAGACGGUGGCCCACGCACAAGCCGAGGUUCACUUGGAGAGCAGUGACAGGAGACCAGGUGGCUGGAGGGGCCUAAGCGCAUCUGAGCUACCAGGGUGCCCGGAGCCUCCCUGGCCUAUGUCCCCAUCCUCACCCCUGCGGAUGUCCUGUCCUGCCCACGCUGAGCGUCCUCACCGCUUUCCCAGAGCUCUAUAAGCGGAAACCUGGCCACUUAGAGAACCACGCUUUCUCCUCCGGGGGGCCUUGAUGUAUUAUCAUAGGGACCCAGACCACGUCUGAUUCCCCGUGGUUCACAGGCUGGAUUGCUCUGAUAAAAGGGAAGUCGUUCAACACAGAAAAUGCCAAAGGCCUCAAUCAUUACAUUCCAAUUGCAGCCUUGACAGCUCAGCUAAGCCCAUUAAGAUUCAAAGAGGAGAAAAGAAAAGACCUUUCACUCAAAAAAACUGAGCCCCAUGAACUCCCUCAGGACAUUCCUUUAUCAAGGACUUUGCUGUAGGUAAUCUGACGUGUCCUAUUGUAGGUCCUAGAAGCGGUGAAAUCGGAGCUGGUUCGUGAUCAAUGUUCCAGUUGAUUGUUUCUGGACCAGGCUGACGGGAGAGGGGGGUGUGGUGGUGAUGGGACAGCUUCAGAGUUCCUGACUUGCCUUUUCCCCACCAUCUCUUGCUCCAGGCCUUACCUCCUUGCUUGCUCCUAUUGGUACCAAAAGGAGAACAAACGAGGACUCCUAGAAGCGUGAAAGGCCGGGACGAUUUGAAAAUAGGUUGAUAUCUGAAAUACCAGGUGUUGAGACAGAACAUGAGAGACUCCUAACUCUGGGAAAUGAACUAGGGGUGGUGGAAAGGGAGGAGGGCAGGGGGUGGGGGUGACUGGGUGACAGGCACUGAGGGGGGCACUUGACGGGAUGAGCACUGGGGGUUAUUCUGUAUGUUGGCACAUUGAACACCAAUAAAAAUAAAUUUAUAAAAAAAAGAAUUACCAGGUGUUAUGCACUGGACGGUGUCCCUCUCUAAAUUCAUGUCGAAGCCCUUACCUCCGGUGUGACUGUAUUUGGAGAGAGGGCCUCUAGGGAGACAAUUAAGGGAAGGCAUAAAAGGUGGGACCCUGAUCCAUAGAACUAGUGUCCCUGUAAGAAGAGGAAGAGACAGGAGACCUCUCCCCCUCUCUCCUCAUGCACAGGGAAGUACAUAGUGAGAACUUGUAAGUACUUGUAGUACUUGUAAGUACAUAGUGAGAAGGCGCUGCCUACAAGCCAAGAAGAGAGAUCUCACCAGAAACCAAACCUGCGGAUAUCCUGAUUUGGACGGUUGGCUUCCAGAACCAUGAUAAAAUAAAUUUCAGUUGUUUAAGCCACCAGAUCUGUGAUAUUUGGUCGGCAGCCUGAGCAGACUGAUGCAACAGGAUUAUCAAUACAUUAAAUGUAGCCUCUGUCUUGCCGAAGUCAGAGUCUGACCUAUGCUGGGCUAGCCUGGGAGUAUGCACAGUCAGGUCCUUCUUUCUGGAACAAACAAACAAAACACAAAAAACUUUUCCAAAAAAUUGUAUAAGAAACACACAUGGACACAGUAAAAUAUUCAUAUAACAUGUACGGGAUUUGAGGGAAUUUAAAUCCUGCUUCUCAUCCCAAACCCUCACUGCUACAGUCCUCCUUUCCCAGAGGAAACCACUGGAAAGUAUCAUUAUUAGUAGACUAGAAUAUGGACCGAUGGAUGGAUAUCGAUAACCUUCUUUAUUUUAUUUUACUUUUUUAAUAAUAAAUUUAUUUUUUAUUGGUGUUCAAUUUGCCAACAUACAGAAUAACACCCAGUGCUCAUCCCGUCAAGUGCCCCCCUCAGUGCCCGUCACCCAUUCACCCCCAGCCCUUGCCCUCCUCCCCUUCCACCACCCCUAGUUCAGAUAACCCUCUUUUUAUAUAAAUUAAAACAUUCUACAUAUAUCAUUCUGAAUCUUGUCUUUUCUUUUACAUAUCGGUAUUUCAUAUAAACUCAUUUCAGGGAUCCCUAGGUGGCGCAGCGGUUUGGCGCCUGCCUUUGGCCCAGGGUGUGAUCCUGGAGACCGGGGAUCAAAUCCCACGUCGGGCUCCCUGCAUGGAGCCUGCUUCUCCCUCUGCCUGUGUCUCUGCCUCUCUGUCUCUCUGUCUCUGUCUCUCUCUCUCUCUCUCUCUGUGACUAUCAUAAAUUUAAAAAAUAAAUAAAUAAACUCAUUUCAUAGCAGAUAUACAUGUAGAAGGGUUUCAUAUUUUAAAGUUGUGAUUUAUACAUUUAUAAGAAUAUAGCACAAUUUAAAUGACCUGUCUUAAAAUAAAUAAAUAAAUAAAUAAAUAAAUAAGUAAAUAAAUAAAUAACCUGUCUUCUGUUGAAAGGGCACAUAGGGUUUUUCAAUCUCUGUGCUUUGAUGCAAAUAAUGUCACAGUAAAAUAGAUGAACGUUCAUCUUUGGCACAUAUGCAUGUGUAAAAUACAUUCUUAGAAGUGAGACUCUGGGGGCAGCCCGGGUGGCUCAAGGGUUUAGUGCUGCCUUCAGCCCAGGGUGUGAUCCUGGAGACCCGGGAUCGGGUCCCACGUGGGACUCCCCGCAUGGAGCCUGCUUCUCCCUCUGCCUGUAUCUCUGCCUCUCUCUCUCUGUGUGCCUCAUGAAUAAAUAAAUAAAAUCUUUUUUAAAAAAGGAAGAAAGAAGAAGAAAGAAAGAAAAAGAAAGAAAGAAGGAAAGAAAGAAAGAAAGAAAGAAAGAAAGAAAGAAAGAAAGAAAGAAAGAGAAGGAAGGAAGGAAGGAAGGAAGGAAGGAAGGAAGGAAGGAAGGAAGGAAGGAAGGAAGGAAGGAAGGAGACUCUGGUUCAAAGAUAUUUGCGUUUUUAGAUGAGAUUGGGCGCAUUCAGGGUGAUAUAGCCGUAGACAGGGUGGUAUGGCCGUACAUGCAUUUUUGGAUAUUUUAUAUUAUUUUAUAGAAAUUGCCAAACAUAGACAUUCUGCCAAAUUUUGGAGACAGCAGGAGGCAUGUAGUUGGUACCAGGCUAUACCUCUCCACGAUGUCAUUAUCAAAGGUCUUUCUUAAACAACCUCCAUAUGCCUAAAUGCCACAUGACUACCUUCUUCCUGAACUUGACCUAGGGCCUGAUGCUGGAAUGCCGGGUCACCGACAAAGUCACCUGAUGGGCUGAGCAACAGGCCUUCCCUCUCUUACUACUACUCAUGCUCCUGGGAGUCUUUUCUUUUCCUCUUCCAGCUUGCUGCCACCGGACGUGUUGUGAUUCAAUUUUUCAGAUUCUUCUCGGUUUCUACCUAGGCGGAGAAGAGAAAUGCAAUAAAAAUUAAGGGCCGUGUUUCACUCCCACACUCUAGGAAAUGUGUUUAGUUUUCUUUCGUAAGCCUCAGGGAGAGAAGGUUCUUUUCUUGAGAAAAUGUUCAGUGUCUUCAUUGGCACUUUGAACAGAUCCGGCCUGAUUCAGAGG